GAUGAAGAACGUAGCGAAAUGCGAUAAGUAGUGUGAAUUGCAGAAUUCAGUGAAUCAUCGAAUCUUUGAACGCACAUUGCGCCCUUUGGUAUUCCAAAGGGCAUGCCUGUUCGAGCGUCAUUUGUACCCUCAAGCUUUGCUUGGUGUUGGGCGUCUGUCCCGCUUCGCGCGCGGACUCGCCCCAAAGGUAUUGGCAGCGGUCGUGCCAGCUUCUCGCGCAGCACAUUGCGCUUCUCGAGGCACCGGUGGGCCCGCGUCCAUCAAGCUCACCCCCCCAGUUUGACCUCGGAUCAGGUAGGGAUACCCGCUGAACUUAAGCAUAUCAAUAAGCGGAGA
rnacentral:misc_RNA from 1 species